UCAGCGGGCGGGCGCUCGCCACGCCCACAGCCCCGCGCGGUCCCCAAGGGCAGCCGGCGCGGAGGCGGGCUACCCCGGCUUCGGACCCCGCAGGCCUGGAGGCCGCGAGGCAGGGAGAGCGGCCAGUGCGCCCUCGGGCUCUUGGUGCGCUGUUGUUGUUGUUUUUUCCUCUCUAAGCUUGGAGCUGCAGGCGGGGUCGUGAAGACCUCUGGGUGGUGCUGGUGCUAGGGCGAGGGAAGGCUAGAGGCUGCCCACCCUAGAUCGAAGGUCCAGCCUAUUCUCAACCCCUCCUCCCCAGAGCGGUGUAAGAGUAGGAAAGAGAUCCAAGGCUGCUCCAGUUUCCUGUCCAUUCCCACAGUUUCAGGUUUCAGUAAGUCCAAUUCUCGCUGAAAUGAGUGUCCUGCCUCACUGUACAUUAACUCUCACGUCCCUAGGCCUGAGAAGAAGCAAACGGACCUACUGUGUGCCUGGAGCUUUUGCAUUCGUCGUUCACAGCGUGUAUCUUCACUACCCUACAAAUUGGAGUGAUGGAUUGCUGGGGGGACUGGACCUUAUUGCUAAGAGACAAAGGCCAGCUGCUUCUCUCCCAUAUUGCCUCUGGGAAAACCGAAUCCAGUAAAAGGAAAUUGUAAGUUUUGCAGAACAUAAUGAAUUGGAAAACGAGGAGGUAUAGAAGAACAAGAAAUUGUGACAAACAUUUCACUGGCUUGCAGUGAGAUCUCUCCUAUAUAAACGUGAAGAUAUUUCUCUGUCUCACUGCCUUGUAUUGAGAGGGCUGAGAUAAAGGACCAGGAAGCACAGACCUGACACCAGUGCUCCAGGGGAAGGUGGAGGAAAAAGAAAACCAAAACCAAAACCUUUGGUAGUGUUCUCAAGAGCAUUCCCGGAAGUUCCUCAGAAAAUUGGAAAUAGAUCAACCUGAAGACCCAGCUAUACCACUCCUGGGCAUAUACCCAAAAGAUGCCCCACCAUGCCAGAGGGCGUUCCACCAUGUUCAAAGCUGUCUUAUUUGUGAUAGCCAGAAGCGGGAAACAACCCAGAUGUCCCACAAUGGAAGAAUGGAUAAAAAAAUAAUGUGGUUCAUUUACACAACGGAAUACUAUUCAGCUAUUAAAAAAAAAAAAGAACGAGGACAUCUUGAGUUUUGUAGGCAAAUGGAUGUCAUCCUGAGAGAGGUAACUCGGAC